rnacentral:rRNA from 1 species
UCUUCCUACGGGAGGCAGCAGUCGGGAAUAUUGCGCAAUGGAGGAAACUCUGACGCAGUGACGCCGCGUAUAGGAAGAAGGUUUUCGGAUUGUAAACUAUUGUCAUUAGGGAAGAUAAAAGACUGUACCUAAGGAGGAAGCCCCGGCUAACUAUGUGCCAGCAGCCGCGGUAAUACAUAGGGGGCAAGCGUUAUCCGGAUUUACUGGGUGUAAAGGGAGCGUAGACGGUGAUGCAAGUCUGAAGUGAAAGGCGGGGGCCCAACCCCCGGACUGCUUUGGAAACUGUAUAGCUGGAGUGCAGGAGG